CCUACGGGCGACAGCAGUGAGGAAUAUUGGUCAAUGGGCGCGAGCCUGAACCAGCCAAGUAGCGUGCAGGAUGACUGCUCUAUGGGUUGUAAACUUCUUUUAUAUGGGAAUAAAAUGUUCCACGUGUGGGAUUUUGUAUGUACCAUAUGAAUAAGGAUCGGCUAACUCCGUGCCAGCAGCCGCGGUAAUACGGAGGAUCCGAGCGUUAUCCGGAUUUAUUGGGUUUAAAGGGAGCGUAGGUGGAUUGUUAAGUCAGUUGUGAAAGUUUGCGGCUCAACCGUAAAAUUGCAGUUGAAACUGGCAGUCUUGAGUACAGUAGAGGUGGGCGGAAUUCGUGGUGUAGCGGUGAAAUGCUUAGAUAUCACGAAGAACACCGAUUGCGAAGGCAGCUCACUGGACUGCAACUGACACUGAGGCUCGAAAGUGUGGGUAUCAAACAGGAUUAGAUACCCGUGUAGUC
rnacentral:rRNA from 1 species